rnacentral:rRNA from 1 species
GCUCAGAACGAACGCUGGCGGCGUGCCUAACACAUGCAAGUCGAGCGAGAAAGCCCGCAAGGGUGAGUAAAGCGGCGCACGGGUGCGUAACACGUGGGUAAUCUGCCCUGAAGUCCGGAAUAACUCGCCGAAAGGCGUGCUAAUGCCGGAUAAGACCACGGGAGCUUCGGCUCCUGCGGGAAAAGGUGGCCUCUGUACACAAGCUAUCACUUCAGGAUGAGCCCGCGGCCCAUCAGCUCGUUGGCGGGGUAAUGGCCCACCAAGGCUACGACGGGUAGCUGGUCUGAGAGGACGAUCAGCCACACUGGAACUGAGACACGGUCCAGACUCCUACGGGAGGCAGCAGUGGGGAAUCUUGCGCAAUGGGCGAAAGCCUGACGCAGCAACGCCGCGUGUGUGAUGAAGGUCUUCGGAUCGUAAAGCACUGUCGCGAGGGACGAAUAAGGGGCGGGCUAACAUCCCGUUCCGAUGACGGUACCUCGAGAGGAAGCACCGGCUAACUCUGUGCCAGCAGCCGCGGUAAUACAGAGGGUGCAAGCGUUGUUCGGAAUUAUUGGGCGUAAAGCGCGUGUAGGCGGCUUUGUAAGUUGGGUGUGAAAGCCCUCGGCUUAACCGAGGAAGUGCGCCCAAAACUGCAUGGCUUGAGUACCGGAGAGGGUGGCGGAAUUCCCGGUGUAGAGGUGAAAUUCGUAGAUAUCGGGAGGAACACCAGCGGCGAAGGCGGCCACCUGGACGGAUACUGACGCUGAGACGCGAAAGCGUGGGGAGCAAACAGGAUUAGAUACCCUGGUAGUCCACGCUGUAAACGAUGAGCGCUAGGUGUUGUGGGUGUUGACCCCUGCAGUGCCGCAGCUAACGCAUUAAGCGCUCCGCCUGGGAAGUACGGCCGCAGGCUAAACUCAAAG